rnacentral:ncRNA from 1 species
AAAUUUUAUAAUGAUUUUAUAAUUAAUUAUAUUUUAAUAUUUAUAUAAAAUAAUUUAAAAUUAAAAAUAAAUUUUAAUUUAAUAUUUAAAUUUAAAUAAUUAAUGAAAGUUAAAUAUAGAUAAAAAUUUUAAUAAAGAUAAAUUAAGUGCCAGCAAUAGCGGUUAAACUUAAUUUAUAAAUUAAUUUAAUCAAUUAAUAUUAAUUUAAAAAUAUUUAAUUUUAAUUAUAAUUUUAAAUUUUAAGUGAAAUUUAAUUUAAAAAUAUUUUAAAUUUUAUAUUAAUUAAUAUAACAAAAUAAUUAAAUAAACUAGGAUUAGAUACCCUAUUAUUUAAAAUAAAAAAAUUAAUUUAUUAAUAAAUGUAAAUCAUUAAAAUUAAAUUUUAUGGCGGCUUUUCAUUCUUAUUAGAGAAAUUUGUAAUUUAAUUUGAUAAUCCACGAUAAGAUUAACUUAAAUUAAAUUUAUAUAUUGUUGUUUAUUUUUAUAUUAAAUUAUUUUUAAUUAAUAUUUGAUUUUUAAUAAUAAAUCAAAUCAAAAUGUAGUAUAUUUAAGAAUAUAUGAAUUAUAAUAAAUUUAAUUUUAGAAUAAUUAAUUUUAAUAUUAAUUUGAAAGAGGAUUUAAAAGUAAAUUUAAUAAAUAAAUUAAAUUGAAAAUAGUUUUGAAAAGUGUACAAAUUGCCCGUCAAUUUCAAUAAAAUGGAAUAAGUCGUAACAUAGUAAAAAUAUUGGAAAAUGUUUUUAGAUA